rnacentral:misc_RNA from 1 species
GAAUUCCUCGAUACCUUAUCCCGUGUUGCUCGUGGAUCUCGUCAAGAGAAGUUAUCCUGGGUGUUCGCUCUGUACGAUGUGGAUGGAGAUGGGCGGAUAUCGCGUAGUGAGAUGUUAGCUGUGGUACGUGCGGUGUAUGAGCUACUGGGGCGGGCGGCCGUCCCGCCCAUACAUAAGGCGGCAGCUGAGGACCACGUUGACAGGAUCUUCCACCUCAUGGACGCGAACGCGGACGGCGCGGUGACGCCGGACGAG